AAGGCGGGGUCUAUAGCUCAACAUGAUGUGUCAGCAGGCAGGGCUGAAGGUAAAUGGUUGAACACAAGGCGGGGCCUAUUACUCAGUGUAGUGUCCAGCUGGCAGGGCUACAAGUUAAAGGUUGAACAUAAGGCAGGGUCUAUUACUCAGUGUGGUGUGUCAGCAGGCAGGGCUGCAGGUUAACGAUUGAACAGAAGGCGGGGCUACAGGUUAGAGGUUGUACAGGAAGGCGGGGCUUAUUGCUCAGUGUGGUGUGCCAGCAGGUAGACAUUUCUAUCAAAAUGCUGUGGAAGAAAAUGAAGUGUUGCCGUAAAGGGGGUGUCCAUGGGUGGCAGUAAGUGUCAGAGUGUGUACAAGAAAAGUGGGUAAUAUUAAAAGGGUCAUUGGAGUGUGUAAGAUAGCUCAGCUUUUCCUCUAAACUCUGUAUAACAAAAGCAAGGCUAUACCACAUCCUAAUCGGGUCCAACACCAUUAAACCAAAUGUGUGUCAGAAGACAGAACUGCGCUUCAGUGUGUGCACCAACAUCAUUG